AAAAGAAAUAACCACUGAUAAGAGAGGGCAUUUCCCUGGUCGGAGAAUUUCUUUGGCACUGCAAGAUUUAUUUUUUUUAAAACGAUUUAGAAUCUAAUUCAAACGCAAAAUGGGAGGCAAAAAUCAAGGAAACUACACAAUCCCAUGUCUCACACUGCAUCAGCCAUGGGCUUCUUUGCUUGUUCAUGGUAUUAAGCGCGUUGAAGGGAGAUCAUGGCCUGCUUCUGUUAGAGGCCGACUUUGGAUUCAUGCAGCUAGUAAGGUCCCAGAUACAGCCACAAUCAAAGCAAUGGAGGACUUUUACAGGGAAAUAUAUGCUGUUGAUGGGAUAUCAGACCUCAAAUUUCCAGAACAUUACCCAGUCUCGAAACUUCUAGGUCGUGCUGAUUUUCUUUGUUAUCUGGAACUUGCGCCCUCAUCCUCUCUUUUAUCAAGGGAUAUUUCAACCAUAAUCUAAACAAAUUGAUUCAUAAAGAUUUACUAGGGUAUGUGAUUUCCCUGACAUCUGAACCUAACAUAUGUUUGAGAGAUACAGGGGGGAAAUUGAAGGCAUUGAAGGAGCUAGAUAACCGAGUGGUGUCCUUAGUUGUUAAUGAACUUGCCCACUGCUUGAUUUGUUGUGCCAAAUUUGUCACUGGUCAAUAAAUAUUAGUACAGAGAGAAUUUCAAAGCAGUUACUUCAGUAGGGACUUGUAUUUUCAGUUUGGAAUUUACAAGAGCCAUAAAUAUUCAUAAAGUGGAGGCUGCUAAAAGAAUCUGAUGUCUAUUUGCACUAUAUUUGCUAUUAAUAUUUUCAUCUUCGUCAUCAUCAUCAUUUUUUAUAUGAAUUUCCCCUGUUCUGAUAUUUGUGUGCUUUGAGAUUACAUUCAAUAUCUUACGUAAAAUUGAUAGGGAACUUAUGUGAAAGCUGAAUAUAAUGGUCAUAUAGCAGGUUGUGUUGAACUUGUUGGCUGCAUAAAAUGUGAAGAGCUGGUAUGCUGGGAGGGUUUACCUGAAGGGGUGGGCACCCAGCACCCUCUAUUUACUAUAUCCAUUUUAUUUUGUAUUUAAUGGAGUAUGCUUGCACUUUGUUCAGCACAAGUGAUGCAUAACCUGAAUCCUCUUUUAUAGGUGAAACUUGAAGGGCAAACAGAUUUUUGCUGGCUUUGUGAAGAACCACGGGUAUAAUUUUAAUUGACCCAGCAAUACAUUACAUCUGUAGAUUGCAACUUAAUGGUCAAGAUGGGUGAACUUUCUGCAUCUGCAUUCUGCUUAUUGAACAUGUUAAUGGAAGCAUAUCUCUAUAUUCAAUGCAGAAACUGGUAGUGCCAAUUGAGAUGCGCGGGUACCAACGUAUCUAUAACCUUGAAAGAAAGUAGUGCCAUUUGUAAUUGUUGUAGAUAUAUGAGGAGGCAGUUAGAGGUCUUUGUCCAAUUGAAGCACCAUCACCAGUUAAGUUUCCACUCCCAGAUCCACAAGAUCCAUUAUCUUUGAAGCCAGGGUUUCUUGCCUCUAAUCAUGAUUGUUCCAAAAUAACCAAAGUGGCUGAAUCACGGAGUCUUGAUGCUGCUAUAGCUGGCGCGCAGGCAGCUGCUACACAGUUCUCAAAAAAGAGGAGUUUCCGAUACUCAGCAAUCCAAGAAGAAGAUAUGCCUGUUUCGACUAGAACGAGAAACAAAAUUAAGGAAGAGAUGCUGGGUAAUGAGUAAUUUGGGAAAAUCAAUAGGAACUUUUGGCUUGUAACAAGAGGCGCAGAGUAGUAAAGUGCAUUGUGAAUACUUUUAACAGUAAUUAUAGAACAAUCAUUAGACUUGAGAAAUGAUACUAAGCGAGGAUACAGGUUGGAACUUGGAAGAGACUAUCAACUCAUGGAAUGUGCUUGGAAUAUAUCUAAAUGGUGCAUCUAUUGACAUGAUUUGCUUGUAAAUUGAGCAAGGUAAUACUGGAACAUCCUUGUGAUCUCACUGUUAGUGUUAGACUUCACCAGAUUUUGUUGAAGCACACGUUGUUACUCAUGGAAUGUACUUGUUAUUAUGUGAUGCUUGAAACAAUGCAUAAAUUAAGUGGCAGGAUUUGGCUUUUUUUAUGUGGAGGGUGCUCUAAAAUCCCAGAAAUUUGAUCUGCCAUGCCUACAACUGGACGAACGGUUUAAAUUUUUAUUUUUCAUGUGUUAUAUUUUUCUAUGGGCAGACGAAAAUAAUCGAAUAUUAUAUUCUUAGUUUCGGUUUCUU
rnacentral:misc_RNA from 1 species